rnacentral:rRNA from 1 species
UGCAAGUCGAACGGAAGUCGUUAUAAAAAGGAUUGAAGAUUUAUCUGAUUGAGAUUUUAUAACAAUGGCUUUAGUGGCGGACUGGUGAGUAACGCGUGAGCAACCUGCCUACUAGAGGGGAAUAACAGUGAGAAAUCAUUGCUAAUACCGCAUAUGCCAUGAACAUCACAUGAUGAAAGUGGGAAAAGAGUAAUCUGCUAGUAGAUGGGCUCGCGUCUGAUUAGAUAGUUGGUGGGGUAACGGCCUACCAAGUCGACGAUCAGUAGCCGGACUGAGAGGUUGAACGGCCACAUUGGGACUGAGAUACGGCCCAGACUCCUACGGGAGGCAGCAGUCGGGAAUAUUGCGCAAUGGAGGAAACUCUGACGCAGUGACGCCGCGUAUAGGAAGAAGGUUUUCGGAUUGUAAACUAUUGUCGUUAGGGAAGAUACAAGACAGUACCUAAGGAGGAAGCUCCGGCUAACUACGUGCCAGCAGCCGCGGUAAUACGUAGGGAGCAAGCGUUAUCCGGAUUUAUUGGGUGUAAAGGGUGCGUAGACGGGAAAGCAAGUUAGUUGUGAAAUCCCUCGGCUUAACUGAGGAACUGCAACUAAAACUGUUUUUCUUGAGUGUUGGAGAGGAAAGUGGAAUUCCUAGUGUAGCGGUGAAAUGCGUAGAUAUUAGGAGGAACACCGGUGGCGAAGGCGACUUUCUGGACAAUAACUGACGUUGAGGCACGAAAGUGUGGGGAGCAAACAGGAUUAGAUACCCUGGUAGUCCACACCGUAAACGAUGGAUACUAGGUGUAGGG